AGAUAAAUAUUUUAGUGCGAAUAAUAGGGAGUAAAACCGUGCUGCAUUACCCUCUAUUUUUUAUUGUGUAGCAAUACUGUGGUUGUUUCUUUAUUUUUUUCUUAAUGAAAUAGAUGCACUUCACGAAGUAGAACACAUAUAGUACUUUAUUUUUGAUGAUUUUUGUGAUUGUCACAAUUUUCAUACAUCAUUUAGAUAAAAAAAAACUUUUUAUUCUGCUUGUAAUCGCAAUCUUAGUAUGCAAAUAUUUUGGUAUUUUAUGUUAUCACUAAAAUUGCAAUAUAUCACAUGCUUCGAUAGAACCAGUAGGAGUUCAUAUUGAGAAUUAUAAAGCGACUGCAUGUUUGUCCAUACAACUUAGUAUAAAAAAUGGUCAGUUGAUUUAGACUGUUUUAAAUUUAUUUAAUCGUACGAAAAAAAAAGAAAAAUUACAAAAAUACUAAACUCCGAGUAACAUUCGAAACAGAAAGUCCCUAAUCAAAUGACAAAUUCAAAUGAAAAAACACAUCAAACGAACGGACAACAACUGUCAUAUUCCUGACUAAGUACAUGCAUUUUCAAAUGUAGAACUAAAAAAGGAUUAAACAACAUAUCAGAAACUUUAGGUGUUGUUUUUUUGGUUGUUAUGAUUAUGAUCAUUAUGUUUUUGUACGAGAUCUGAUUUUUAAAAACUAGAUAGUUGGUAAAUCUCUUGAUUUUUUUUAAAAGAACA
rnacentral:lncRNA from 1 species